rnacentral:rRNA from 1 species
GACGAACGCUGGCGGCGUGCUUAACACAUGCAAGUCGAACGGAAAGGCCCUGCUUUUGUGGGGUGCUCGAGUGGCGAACGGGUGAGUAACACGUGAGUAACCUGCCCUUGACUUUGGGAUAACUUCAGGAAACUGGGGCUAAUACCGGAUAGGAGCUCCUGCUGCAUGGUGGGGGUUGGAAAGUUUCGGCGGUUGGGGAUGGACUCGCGGCUUAUCAGCUUGUUGGUGGGGUAGUGGCUUACCAAGGCUUUGACGGGUAGCCGGCCUGAGAGGGUGAACGGCCACAUUGGGACUGAGAUACGGCCCAGACUCCUACGGGAGGCAGCAGUGGGGAAUAUUGCACAAUGGGCGGAAGCGUGAUGCAGCAGCGCCGCGUGCGGGAUGACGGCCUUCGGGUUGUAAACCGCUUUCGCCUGUGACGAAGCGUGAGUGACGGUAAUGGGUAAAGAAGCACCGGCUAACUACGUG